AUGCAGCAAACAAGCGGAUCUUGGAGAGAGCAGGGUGACCCCUGCUUCGCCACGGAUCAGGGCCGCAGCUCACCGGUAAAGCUUCUCCUCUGCAGGCAGAAUGCCCCAAACGAUCACCAACCUAAAUGCCUAAAGCCCCGGUCUGUGCGCAUUCGAUCCAGGCGCCUUCCUGAUGCCCGCGGGCGCCGUCGCAGCGCGCCCCGAGGAAGCGGCCUGCCGGACGCUCAGGGCGCCACUCGCGAGGCAGGAUCAGGUCCCCUCGGGGAGGGGUGCGAGGUCCGUGUACUGCCGCGACAUGGCCGCGAGGGGAGGGGGCGUGGCGCAUGCCGACCCGUGUCCGCCACCAUCCACCGUUCCGCGCGGUGCCACAGCCCGGCUGUCCCGGGGGUGGGCGUGCCAGCUGGCCCGUGGGGGUGCGGGGAAGGCUCGGCCGCGGAGGCGAGAAGGGGGUGUGCCGGGCCGAAAGCGCCCGCGGGUGCCGCCCCGCCGCGCGGCAAAACAGCGCCACGGCCCGGAGCUGGAGGAGGCGUGGCGAACACGCGGGGAGCAAAACACAAGUGCGCACUCCGCGAUCACCGGCGAUGGCGGGCGGGUGUGCGCGCAAAAAGCGGCGGAGGCGGCGGCGGCGAAGGGCUUCCUGCAGCAGGGAAAGCAAAAGGGCGGCCGAGAAUCCGUCGAGGGGAAAGCGGGGCUGCAGCCGGGAAUGAGUGGGAGCGAUCGGGGGGGGGGCGCAAGAGGAGGCUGCACGGUUGGAGAGGGAGGGGGGAUCCACGCACGAUCGCCCUCCCUGGAAGAAGAGGGGGGUGUUGCAUGCCACGGCAGGAGGGGAGGAAUCGAGGGAGGCACGCGUGGAGAGAAAGAGUGCGCGCCUUCGGGCAGCGCGGAGUGGCCCGUGCAGCUUGGCUAGGGCGCACGGGCGCAAGGCGCGGGGAUUGCGUCGCCGGCGCGCCCCCUCGCACACACCCCUCUCUCACGGCCGUGCAGCUGCAAGAGCAGCGUCGCCCACCCGCACAACCAGCCUCCCCACCCCCAUCAACCCCCACGCCCGCGCCGCCAGCCCCCGACGGGCGCCCCCUCCCCGGCUUACCAGCUCCGCGCGCGCUCCGCCUCGCCUGCCAGCUCGGCUCCCUCCUUCCCUCGCGCAGCUUGUUUUGA
rnacentral:lncRNA from 1 species